rnacentral:tRNA from 1 species
AAAGGGAGACCUAAUUCAGGUAAAAGACGAAAAAAAAGUAGUCGCUACCAAGAAUCAAUCCCAAAAGGUCGGAGCGAGGCGAAAUUGGCUUUCAAACUAGGUUCUGGGUUCACACAAGACCUGAAUCAGGAACAAGGGCUAUUAGCUCAGGUGGUUAGAGCGCACCCCUGAUAAGGGUGAGGUCCCUGGUUCGAGUCCAGGAUGGCCCACCUGCACAGGUGGCAAAAACAAGAGAAGCGAGGAAUCAGCACCUUAUCUUACUGACAUAGUAAGAGAGAAUGCUGGCUCUGAGUAAAGAGUCCAGAGGAACCUUGAAAACUGCAUAGAGCUAGGUGAAAAAGCCAAAAAAGAAGACCGCAAG